rnacentral:rRNA from 1 species
UUAGCAAGCACCGGCUAACUCCGUGCCAGCAGCCGCGGUAAUACGGAGGGUGCAAACGUUGCUCGGAAUCAUUGGGCGUAAAGCGCGCGUAGGCGGCUGAACAAGUUGGAUGUGAAAGCCCCUGGGCUCAACCUAGGAUGUGCAUUCAAAACUGUUCGGCUUGAGUCUCGGAGGGGGUCAGAGAAUUCUCGGUGUAGAGGUGAAAUUCGUAGAUAUCGGGAGGAACACCAGUGGCGAAGGCGCUGACCUGGACGAUGACUGACGCUGAGGCGCGAAAGCGUGGGGAGCAAACAGGAUUAGAUACCCUGGUAGUCCACGCCGUAAACGAUGAGUGCUAGACGCUGGCGGAUUGACCCCGUCGGUGUCGAAGCUAACGCGUUAAGCACUCCGCCUGGGGAGUACGGUCGCAAGACUAAAACUCAAAGGAAUUGACGGGGGGC